rnacentral:rRNA from 1 species
AUACGGAAGGUCCGGGCGUUAUCCGGAUUUAUUGGGUUUAAAGGGAGCGCAGGCGGAGAUGCAAGCGUGACGUCAAAUUUCGGGGCUCAACCCCGUCUCGCGUCGCGAACUGCGUCCCUUGGUUGCGGGAAGGGGAGGCGGAACUCGUGGUGUAGCGGUGAAAUGCAUAGAUAUCACGAAGAACUCCGAUCGCGAAGGCAGCCUUCCGGCCCGUCAACGACGCUCAUGCUCGAAGGUGCGGGUAUCAAACAGGAUUAGAUUCCCUGGUAGUCCGCACAGUAAACGAUGGACACCCGCGGUUUGGCCUAUAUGGCUGAGCCGCCAAGCGAAAGCGUUAAGUGUCCCACCUGGGGAGUACGCCGGCAACGGUGAAACUCAAAGGAAUUGACGGGG